UCCGCUUCUCGGCCUUUUGGGCUUCAGAUCAAGUGUAGUAUACGUUUCUUAUCAGUUAAUAUUGAAUAUCGUCCCGCCAUCGGGGGACUACAUAGUUAAAAUGGAUUUUUCGAACAGGGAGUCGGAAAUGGGGCUUGCUCCGCUCCGCUCCAGCGCAUCGACCCGGUAUUGCAGUACCUCUCGGGAACGGCCGCAGACAC